ACACCUCUCUUCCGGCUGGAGCAGCCUGACCAAGUCCCACUUGCUGUUCUGCCAGGGAGCCUGAUUUUGGCACUGGUGUAUUUCCAGAACCAAGGUUGAUCCUUCUAGUCUCGUGGCAGAACUUUGUAGACACCAAGCGAGCGGGGCAGCGUGUUCUGGACCUCAUUCCUCACACAGGGCUCACCUCCGGAUGAGUCAGAGGCCUUAGCCGGUGGCCCAGCCCCGGGAAUGCCACCCCGGUUCUGUACCCUGCCCAGGCCAGCUGACAGGGUGUAUUGGGGCACACACCUGCAGCAUCCAGGGCACUCCAAGGAGAGGGACGUACUUUUGAGGAGAGUCUAAAAGUCUAAGUCCCCCACCUGAACUUGGUGGGGGAAGGGCUUCUAUACCAGGAGGGCUCCCAGCCCUGUUUCUUAAAGGCCAUUUAGGCAGAAGUGAACGUGGUCUCUUCAAUAAAGUUAAUAAUGGUUCAUGCUGCA
rnacentral:lncRNA from 1 species